UGACCAGCGACGCCGCGUGAGGGAUGAAGGUCUUCGGAUUGUAAACCUCUUUCAGUAGGGAAGAAGCGAAAGUGACGGUACCUAAAGAAGAAGCACCGGCUAACUAUGUGCCAGCAGCCGCGGUAAUACAUAGGGUGCAAGCGUUGUCCGGAAUUAUUGGGCGUAAAGAGCUCGUAGGUCGUUUGUCGCGUCGAUUGUGAAAAUCUGAGGCUCAACCUCAGACCUGCAGUCGAUACGGGCAAACUAGAGUGUGGUAGGGGAGACUGGAAUUCCUGGUGUAGCGGUGGAAUGCGCAGAUAUCAGGAGGAACACCAAUGGCGAAGGCAGGUCUCUGGGCCAUAACUGACACUGAGGAGCGAAAGUGCGGGGAGCGAACAGGAUUAGAUACCCUGGUAGUCCGCACCGUAAACGGUGGGCACUAGUUGUGGGAACCUUCCACGGUUUCCGCGACGCAGCAAACGCAUUAAGUGCCCCGCCUGGGGAGUACGAUCGCAAGAUUA
rnacentral:rRNA from 1 species